rnacentral:rRNA from 1 species
GAUGAACGCUAGCUACAGGCUUAACACAUGCAAGUCGCGGGGCAGCAUGGGGGUUGCUUGCAAUCCCCGAUGGCGACCGGCGCACGGGUGAGUAACGCGUAUCCAACCUGCCCUUCACCACGGGAUAACCCGGCGAAAGUCGGACUAAUACCGUAUGUUGUCCAUUGACGGCAUCCGAUUUGGACGAAAGGUUUGGCGGUGAAGGAUGGGGAUGCGUCCGAUUAGCUGGACGGCGGGGUGACGGCCCACCGUGGCGACGAUCGGUAGGGGUUCUGAGAGGAAGGUCCCCCACACUGGAACUGAGACACGGUCCAGACUCCUACGGGAGGCAGCAGUGAGGAAUAUUGGUCAAUGGGCGUAAGCCUGAACCAGCCAAGUAGCGUGCAGGAUGACGGCCCUAGGGGUUGUAAACUGCUUUUAUGCGGGGAUAAAGUGGCCCACGUGUGGGUUUUUGCAGGUACCGCAUGAAUAAGGACCGGCUAAUUCCGUG